rnacentral:lncRNA from 1 species
AAGCAUGUACAGUGAAAGCCUAUCAGAUGUGAAAUUCUAUCUUUAUCUGCAGUAGCCUUUGCUAGGAGUUCUGGCUCUAGGUCUUUGUAGGGCUUAAUUCAAAGCACAUAUAACAUCCCUAUUCUGAGGUCUUUUCAGCUUUUUUUGAAUUAACCUGUUUUCAGACUGGUGUGAAAAUUAUAGGGAAGGACACCUCUCUAAAUUUACUGGGGAAAAGGGUAUCACUUUCAUGAAUCUGAAUGAAAAUUGUACUAUACAGGUAAAUUAACAGUGAAGACUUCAACAAACGAC